rnacentral:lncRNA from 1 species
CGGGGCGCAGCGCAGCGGCGGGCGCACUUCGCCUCCUCCUCGCGAGAGCCGCUCUCCCUCCUCCUCCCGCACAAAGAAGGCCCCGCUCACCCCGUCCGGCCGCGGGGUUAAGGUGUCCCCGAGCCAUGUCCCGCCGCAGCGCUCGGCCGCGCGGUGCCCCCGCCGCUGGGACCCGCCCGGCCCCGGCCCCUCUCGGAGCCUGGCGCCCGCUCAGCGGUAGGUACGCGGCGCUCCGCGUGCGGCGCUUGGCUUUGCUCGUUCUGCUCUGUAGGGAGGCAAGGGUUAAUGAAGGUGGCGAUGGGCGUCCCGCAGAGCCGUGUGCUGAGGAGCGGGAGUUGGAGGGCUGCGCGAGGAGCUCGGUCCUGCAGGGAGCCGUGGCAUCGCUCAGUGUUCCGUGCUGCUUUCUACGGGUCUUCAAUAAAAAGUUACCGUGGAUGCUUUCAAUAAACUCGGCUUGGCUCUUUUCACUCUUUUGCUUUCAGAUGGGUGAGCUUCAGUUGCGUCUCGCAGUCCGCGGGACCGCCAGAAGUUCCUGGUGGGCUGUGAGUGUUUAGGCCGCACCUCAGUGCUGUGCUCAGUGCUCAGUGCCUCACGCUGCUGCCUUCCAAUUAUGAGCUGAACUCAUUGCUCUUCCAAGACACGUCUGGGUAACUGAGUUUGGAUCCCAGCCGAGCCCGGGCUGUGGGAUUUGUUGUAGCGAAGCGCCACGCCUCUCAGAGAAGGAGGGAAAACCCUGCGCAGGGCUCCAUACCUAAAACUGACAAAAUAUAUGCAGCAAAGUAGUAGACUUCAAGGUAUAUAUAGCUGAUAUAAUCAGUAAUAAGUGGUGGAUAGGGUGAACUGGUUGCACAGCCCGCAGGUUUACUUCUUUCUUACUUUUAGUGCUAUUGAACUCACUGAUACUGCUGUCAGUUUUUUCCUUUUCGGCUUAAGCUCCUAACAGCACGAUCAUCUCUGUGAGAUACUGUCUCUCUUCCUCUUGCUGUUGUGAGUCAGGAUCCUUGCUUUCUAGGAAACCACAGUGUGCAGGUCGCUUGUAGAGAUUCUUGAAAGCUUUCUCUCCAGGGCAGAUGGGUGUUGUAUCCCAUCCAUUCCUGUUUAGAAGUCAGCCUCUCAGUUAGGCCUCGAUUAGUUUUGGACUGUGC